rnacentral:piRNA from 1 species
UCUGAAAUGCUAUCUGUGGGUCCAACACU